UUAAUCGAAACCAAAAUAGAGGUAUAUCACUGUUAAUGAUAAAAUUGAAUAAAAAAAUUCCGAUUAAA
rnacentral:tRNA from 1 species